CUACGGGAGGCAGCAGUGGGGAAUUUUGCGCAAUGGGGGAAACCCUGACGCAGCGACGCCGCGUGGAGGAUGACGGCCUUCGGGUUGUAAACUCCUGUCAGAAGGGACGAAAUCCCGCAAGGGACUGACGUACAUCA
rnacentral:rRNA from 1 species